GUUCCUCCUGGCCAUGGCCCACUGCUCAUCCAUGGCAGCCACAGCCUGUUCUUCUGUGGGGAAGAGGUGCCAAAGAGGAGAGAUGGCUCCCUCCAUCACUCAGUGGCAUGUGGAAUUUACUCCUGUGUAAUAUUGACUUUUUCCUAGUUUUGUCCCAUACCAGCAUCUGGCAGAGUUAGGGGAGCAAUGUCUGGUGACACCGAUAUCCAUGACUCUUAGGGAGGCAGGAAGGACCCUGGCCUAUCUCUUCCAUAAAUUCAUUAGGUCCUCCUGCCUCCUGUGUGUGGUAUACCACUGGGUGGACAUCUUAGAGUAAGGAUACUAAGGGUCCUUCACUAAGGAAAAGACUGUUCCUAGCCAGAUCUUCCCUCAGAAAGCAAGAAACUGAGUUCUAUAUUUCCUGAGAGAGCCAGGAAGGGUCCCUCUUAUAUCCCAGCCCAAGCUCCUUGGAUGGAGAGCUGACCAGUGGGCACACAUCUGGCAGGUGGUGUUUGCCACCUGGUCGGCUGAUUGUGAAUCUCCCAUCCCUCCCCAGGCUAAGUCCCGGGCGACGAGGCUGACCCUGCUAGAGCGGAACCUGCCUUAUGCUAUUGUUUGGUACUUAAAGCGAGGUUGCCCUUUGUAUAUUCGGUUUAUUGACAUGGAAUAUACAAGGGCAAGCUCUCUGUGAGUAUCAAACCUUAUCUUGGAUCCCGUCCACACUCAGCGAGGGAUGUGGUAUGUGUGUGCAUGACCGUGUGUAUCCAUCUUGUGUGUGACAAACUGCUUCCUGGGUUUUCCAUUUGGCACCGAUGGCUUUAUGGUUGCAAGAUGACUUCAGGAAAGACCUUGGGAACAUGCCCUCUCCUUGUUCUGUGUGGGUGGGUUCCAAAGCAUGCACUGUGUGUGUAGCCUGGGUCCCUGCUUCCCAGGCGGGCAGUCCCAGCCCAGGCUGAUGGUCAGGUUUGUGCUGGUGUGGGCCAUGGUUUUCAUUUUGGUUUGGUUUUUGGUGUUUUUUGGUUUGUUCGUUCGUUCAUUCGUUCGUUCGUUCGUUCUUGGUGUUCUGUUGUGAUGUGGUACUUGAGUGUGCAUGUUUUCUUGCUUGGCGUGUGUGCUGUGGUCCGCUAACCCUCAGCAUCUAAUUCAUCCCCAGGACCCCACCUGGAAGACAUAGCAAGUCCACCCAAGGCAGUGGCCUUCCUUUCCAGGCCAACCUUUGGUACUUGGAGAGUGGUUAUCCCUGUCCUCUUCGUUUCACUCAUGUCGAAUCGUACAGGGUCAUCCACUUUUUCAGUAUCAAGUGCGCAGACUCUGCAGCCUGGCUUCCUGCGCCUGGAUCCUGCUUCUGACACUUCCAGUGCACAUCCUUGGACAAGGAUGUCGUCGUGCUAUGCUCGUUGUCUCAUGUGUCACAUGGGAGUCGCGUUGGGGGUCUGCUGCCUAUGGCUGCUGGGGCUGGGAGAGAUCAGGCUCUCAUAGGGCUAAGCGUAGAGCCGAGGCUCAUUGCUUCUUCUGUGCUAGCCAAAACUCUGGUGCGCUGUGAGCUGACUAGUGGCCGCUGUGGUGGUGGUGGUGGUGGUGUUAGCAAAACCUCUCCUUGGAUUUGGGAGUCAAUGUUGAGACAGAAGUUCUCUGUCAGGUACAUGGGUGGGUGUUGGCGCUUAGAGUUUGUGCUGGACUUCCAAUGAGCCUGGUGAAGCCUGUGCUGCUCAGUAGUGACAGCAUUCCAGCAGCAGCUUCUGAACAGGAUACCCCAUGCAGUGGGGUCAGCGGGGCCACCAGAAUGCUUGCUUCACUUAGGAUGGCACUGCCUGGAUUCUUGACCCCAGCCACCAUUACCCUCAGAAGACUCUUGUGUGAGGUUGCCAGGCUGAAUGGGGAGUGGGUUCCAUGGCAUCUCACCUCCCUGAGGAGCCAUGAGCAGCACAUGCAUGAUGCACGUGUGUGUUGUGUGCAGCCAAGUGUUAGGGGCGGUGCUCACUCCCAGGAGGCCUAUGGAUGCUCGUGUGCCAUGCUACUGUUUCAUACUUGAAGAGAAAUUAUCCUUGGUGUGUUCGCUUUUUGGGAUGAAUCAUACAAGGACAAUUUCUUUUUGAGUAUCAAAUACUACCCCGAUGGACUUCCUGGAUGCCAAGAUAGCUCUGUAAGGAGGUGCAUGGGUUAACCUUACCUGGGCAGAGGGCAAGGAACUCACAACUGAUGUGUAGAGGGUGCACUGGGCUCCUACCUCAGAACCUUACCCAAAGGGUCCAGGGGCUCCUAGGUAGUGCCAUCUCCACGGCUUGGUCAUGGUGGGAUAGCAUAGCUUUUGUGACUCAGAAAAUCCUGCUUUGGGGAUGUGACACUGAUCUCAGAGAUCAUCACUGGGCUCAGCCCCCUGCCUCUCACCUGAGAGUGUGACUGGCUCCACAAGCAUGUGCUUGACUCUCAUGGAGUGACACUGACCCACUAGCCAUAUAGUCUGGACCAUGGGAGAUCAGGGCAGAGGAGCCCCUGGCUUUGGAGGAGAUCCUGAGGUUUUUCUCAAUACCGUAGUUUUCUGGCACUUAGAGAAUGACUGUCCAUAGUAUGGUCUCUGUAUUUAUGAAGAUUAAUGCUGGACAAGCAUUGUUUUAGUUAUCUGAAUUUGCUUCAGAAGGUACUAGAACACAGUGCUGACUUCAGCUGAUGGACACUGGUGCCUGCACCAGGAGAGGGUGACUUUAGUAAGCUUUCUUCUUAACAUGCAGUGACCUCAGAAUGCAACCCAUCCCCUCGUCCCCCAUCUCCCGCCGUGUGCUCUCACGCUGACAGCUUUGCAGUGGCCAUAGCUUUGGUGCCUUAGUUCUUCCUGCUUGGUCUGGAGGACACUGGGAAUAACUCACCUGUCUGUCCUUGCUGUUCAGUCUGAGCUCGGAAGAACUCCUUGGGGUGAGGUCCUGGGGUCAAGCAACUCUGUAGCUACACAAAGCUUGACCGAGGACUUCUAAGUCCAGCACCCACUCUCCCUAGCAUCCAUUCUGAGCACAGACUUCCUGUGGGAGAUACAAGUGUUAAUGAGGGCACUUCCUACCACGGCUGCUUUAAGUCACUCUCGUCUGUUCCUAUGGCUUAUUCGUGGUGGACACAACAUGGGUUCUUUUGGGCUGACCUUAUCUUAGGUGUAUCUGGACUAAGACACUGUGGUCAACAGCACAUCUUUUCAACUCAUCCCACCACCUGAUGUGUGUGUGUGUGUGUGUGUGUGUGUGUGUGUGUGUGUGUGUGUGGUAGGUGUGUGUGUGGUGUGCAUAGGUGUAUAAAUCAUUGGUUAGAGUAGGGUCUCUCAAACUGCUCAGUGCUGCUAAGAUAUUCAUCGCCUAGGGAUCUUGUUAAAAAGCAGAUUCUGAUUGAGGGACCAAGAUUCUGCAUUUUUAGCAAGCUCUCAAGUGAUGUUAAUGCUGCCAGUCUGUGGACAACACGUGUAGCCAGCCACUGGGGGCUGGAGAUGAUGCUGUGUGUUAUUUGUAGUGUGUGUGCCCCAUCUCUCCCAUGUGCCCUACAUUAUCCAUCAUGACUGAGCAUCCUUCUGAUAAUCAAACUGUGGUCAGUUGUGAAGAGCCACCUUCUCCACAAAUGUCAUGUGAUUAUUCUUUCAAAUCAAAUCAUACCUUCAUGGGCUUCCCAGACAUAAGAACUACUUCAGGGAGGGGCUCAUGGAGGACUUGUCAGCACCAGGUCCCAGCCUUAAGUGUUAUUGAUGAUCGAGGCCAUCUGACUCUGUAACCCUCUGUUUCCAGUUAAUCCUCGGGAGCAGUUCCUGAAAGCACAGCCGUGGGAGCAGAGGAAUCCUAUCUGCAGAGGCCGGCAGCACUCCCUCCACAUUAUCUAAAGAGGCUGUGGGCAUGUGCCUCUCUGACUAGGGGUUCAGUUCAUCACGGGAAGAAUCUUCUGGAAGCAAAGAUGGCAGUGGACAAGAGGCCUUGGUUUUCCUGUCAGAACUAUCUGAAGAUAUUUGAGGUCAUCAAUGUCAUGUUUAUUUACUCACCACGAAUACUGCACAGUUUAAAAACUCCUUUUGAAUAUCAAUCUCCGAAUAUCAAACUUUUUUGAAGGUCUUCCCUCACAAGAGAUACGAGAUUGUGUGCCUUGUGUGACCUUCAAAUGAGCCCUGCACCUCCUUCAGGAUGCUACUUGGAUAUUUUGCUGAUGGACAAGAGCCCUAGGAAAUUUGGUCCUGCUGAUGGUGAACUUGAUGCAUUUUUCUGAUUGCCUUCCUUCAUUCUGCUCCACCAGUUUUCAGAGCAAGGAUGCACUCCAAGGGUAAGCUGACCACAGGACUGCAGGCUUCCCCAGUCCAGAGCAUGUGGGUAAAAUCCUUUCACGAUGGGUGGGCAGUGGGAAGAACCCAUGAAAAGUAGUCACAUCCUCUAUAAAGACUCCCCUGGGAACAGUCUGGUUUUCAGGGUUACAUCCCACCCAAGAACACCCUGGGAAUUCAGGCUUGACUUCUCCCCAGGUGUGGGAAAGGCAAGCUAACUUGACCCUGGUCUUUUUUUCUCACUGAGGUCACUGUUCUUGGCACCCACUUCUUCCUCUGGUGGACACCAACAAGGUGCAGUCACUACCUCAAUAGAGCUUCCUGACCUGCUGCUUGGCUCUGGGAGAAACUGGUUUUCUUUCCUUCCUUGCUCGUGGAGAUCACACCCAGAAGGUAAGGAGAUCCUAGCUUCUAGGGUAUCUUUUGAUUCUGGGAAAGGGAGGUUGACCCUGCUAUGUGGAAAGAUACUGUUCUCUUGGUCUAUCACCUUCAGGGAUGAUACCUAUGCCUGAUGGGAAGCUCAGCUCCCACCCUCUGGAUGACGGUUCCCUUUGAGACGACCACUCCUGUUGAAUCCUUGGAUAGAAUCCGUUCAAGGACACCAUCAGACUUGGCCCAAGGUACGUGGGAGUAGAGUGGGUCCAGGUAAACCCAGGUAAACCCAGGCACUAGGGAUAUCUGUGGCCUACAGCCCAUACACCCCAUCUUUAGAACACUUGUGAAUUCAGGUUGCUCCAGCCCUGCUCUCUCUCUCUUUGUCAGAGAAAAGUACCAUCAGCUACCAAAAGCACAUGCCAGUCUGUGUAAGAAUCCUCAGAAUGGAAGCCCAAAGCCCAGGAAGAUCUGAUGGAUCAAAGGACACAGGAUGUGCUGGUGAAGGUCACAGGCUUCUUUGUACUGGACCCUCAGCACCCAAGCUGCACUAGUGAGGCAUGAGAUCCUUCUGCUACAUCUUGGCAGGUAUAAUCCCAGCUCCAUUGAGGGAACAUAAAUAUUUCCCUAGGUAUAGGGAAGGAGAGCCUAUUUCACAGCCUGGGCAUAAUUGGGACUAAGCCCCAUGUCCUCCAGAGAUAUACCAUUAAGACUUGGGAAGCCAUUUCUAAUGGAGUGUCCAUUUGUCAAGACUUGAGUAGGCCAAAAGGAAGCUCCCUGGGGCAGAGGGUUGUCCCUCAUAGGAGAAAGGAGUCUGAUCAAAGAACACACAUGUAAACUGAUGCCAGCAGCCUCUUCCUACCAAAUGAUGUCUUGGGUGGCUCCCACAGGCCAUCCAGCUCUGAACAAGUAGUGGGGUCCUUACAAGGGGAUUUCCUCGUAUAUGAAGACAGAUUUCCACUCAGUUUGCUUUCUUUAUUUUUCUCCCUUUCAUUGUUUGAGUUACGUUUUUAUAGACAGAAUCUCUCUGGCCUGGAAUUCACUAUAAAACCAAAGUCCCCAGAAUUGAAUGUAUGCCAAUUCUCCUGCCUCAGGCUCCCAAAUACUGUGACUUCAGAAAUGGGCUAUGGCAAGCUAAGAGUUUGCUUUCUUUCAUGUAUAUGUACAUAUAUAUUUUUUUUAAUUUGUUUUUUUGUUUCUGUGUGUGUGUGUGUGUGUGUGUGUGUGUGUGUGUGUGUGUGUGUGUGUGUGCCGGAGUCUAUGUAUGUGUAACAAGUGCAUUCAAGAGUCUGCGGAGAUCAGAAGAGGCCAUUGGAUCCUCUUGAACUGAACUUAUACACGACUAUGAGUCAACCAUAUGGGUUCUGGGAACCGAACCCAGUUCUUCUGAAAGAGCAUUAACUCCUGAGCCAUCUCGCCAGCCCUCCAGGUUUGCUUUCUUGACAUUGGGUCCUGUGUGGGAGCAUUGGUCUUGUUGGGGAAGGGCGAUUGACCUCAGCCAGCCUCAAGGACAGUUGUUCAUUUGGCUAGAUAGGAGAGCAAGGAGCGUUACCAAUUCUCCUGACUCUUGGUCCUCAAUCCUUUCUUAGGGAGACUUGCUGGAUGGUGGAUGUCUCUGAGAAGGCGGGGUCCAUGGGCAGCCUCUUUGCUGUUUGCAGAGCAGUAAUCCCUUGUGCUGUUGGCUUCAUUUGUGGUGAUCAUACAAGGACAAACCCAGAGCUGCUGUGGAGGUUCCAGGUAUGUACAGAGACUUCUGAGCUCUUAUUCUGAGAGCGGUAGAGGCUGUGGGGAAGGAGGCACCAGAGAACAGUGUGUGGUCUGUGUUCUGAAGAGCCCUCUGAUGCAAGGACAGUGACAAGAGAAUCCAUGCGGGCCGUUGUGCAGGUCAUGGAGAGCUGAUAAAAAUGUCACCAGGAUGAGAGGUCUUCCCGAUGUGGAGGUGUGGAGACUGCGCGGUGCCCUCAAGGUGGGGACUGGAUGAGCCAACAUCAGGAGUGAGCAGGUAGGAAGAGGAGGGCCCAGAGGCCGUACAGGCAGGAUGUCUCUGAGCCCUGGUUCUCAAGUAACUCCGUGGGCUACAGGGGCCAUCCUCGCUGGUGUCAUGGCUAUCCCAGCUAAGGUAAUAACCCUGGGGGUCUGAAAGGCUAGUGAGAUGGGAGCAAGGGUGGACUGCAAGUGAGGAAGUCUGGGCAGUUAGAUGACGUGUCAAUAAAUAGGUGGUUACAAAGAAAAAGAAGGGGGGGCAUGAGACGUUGAUCACUCGUAGCCGGAAGUGUAGGAAUUGAGGGGAUAAACAAUUUCCAUGGCCUUAGAGGAGAACCAGGUUUCCAUCAGGAUGGAAGGUGGAGCUUUGGGAAAGAAGUGAAGCCAUGAGGGACUUUGACAGCGGAAUGUCUUAUGGAACAAUGGGGGUGGUGGGACAUGGAAAAGUGGGAGGCAGGUUCUUAGUGGAGCUUUGGGAAGCUACUCUAAGGAAUAACUAGCUUCCCAGUGGCUAGCCACUGGAAUCUGGACAUGGUACGUGAUCCUACACAUCCAACUAGGAAGUAGAUAAGCCAUUUGUGAUAGCAUUCUUCUUGAAAGUGAUUUCUUAGAGAUGAGGCAAGGAUCUCCUGGGAUCAUGAAGAGCCCAGUGAACCUCCCCUUGAUCCACCUGAGGAUGCUAGUAGCCCAGGCUGGGCUCUUUUGUGGUGGGACUUUUGUAGUCACCUGAGGAGUUUGAUGUGUCAGGUGGCUAACUGUGUAUGCACCACAGAGAAGUCCAAGGCCCCAUUCACACACCCUGGGCUCUAUAUACCUGCAGAGGACUGCUGACCUGCAGCAAGUGGCCUCCCCUUCUCCUCUUGAAAGCUUCUCAGUGCAGACUCUGGACCAAGGAAGUUUCAACUUCAGAGAAAGAGGACAAUGCCAGCAUCGUUGCGAGGAAGGUGAGUGGACACCCCUGUCUCACUCAACUGUGUUCCAAGAACACUUAUCCCCCACCUCACUAACACUAAGCAUCCAAUCUGCCUGCAGGUUGGUGGUUGGAAACCAUAACCCUUGGAGAAGUGGAAGGGGCCCUUUGUCUGUCUUGUCUCUGCUUUUCUGUGGUACUUGAAGAGAAGUUGUUCGUGGUGGAUUCGCUUUACUUGUGCCGAAUCAUUCACGGACAACACUUUUUUCAGUACCAAAUGCUACCUCUAAGGAUUUCCUGGACACGAUGGCAACUUGCAGAAAGAUGGCCUUUCAGUCCAGCUUGUAGAGGAGUCAAAUAUGGAUGGUUGGCCACGGACAGUAUGCUUGAGCUAGCUGUGAGUCACCUGUUCUGGUUCCCUGAGCAUCUGACCCAUCUGUAGGCCUCUCAGUGAGCUGUGCCAACCUUGGGGAGGCAGCUCUAGUUUUACUACCAGCGUCAAUCACCUCACAAGACUUUGAAGAGAGGCCAUCUUCCAGAAGAGAUGUUGGUGCCAGCACCAUUCAGGGUAUGUGACUGGUUGACCAGAGGGGCGUGCACUCUGUUCACCCUGUGGGCCACCUAGUCACCAACCCUCAGCAUCAAUCUCACUCAAAGAAGACUCUCCAGAGAUCCUGUCAAGUUUGGGGAAGUAUCAGUGGACUUGAUGGCUGUGCCUGUUCAGUGGACCAGGAUGAACUGUGGUCUUGGGGGUGUAUGUUUACAUAAGAUGCCAUGAGGCAUCCAUGCUAGCUGCUACAUCACUAUCACAGCCUACUUGAAGUGUUGACUUCAGAUGUGGACAUGAUGUUGACAUCCCAUGAGGGACCUGAAGUCCCUUCUCUCCUGGGUGUGUGACUGAAUUGUACUUCACUAAGCAUGUGCCUUACUUAGCUGAUGUAUCUAUCAUCUGGUCCUCUAACCUCAGUCUCUUGUCUCUCUGCAGGAGAGUCUGUGAGAUACCAUCAUGGUUGUCCUGCCAUCACCACACCACCAUGGGAGCUUCGAGUAUGUGCUCCCUUUGUGGAAACUGUAGAAUGGUGCCCCCUCUAGUCCAGGAGGGCUAACCGGAUCUAAUGGCAUCACCAUCCCCUUCAGGUAAGUGUGCCUCGGGUGAGCAUGCACUCAAUGUAGGUGUAUGUCACUCGGCUCGGCCCACUACCCACUGCUGUCCCUCCCCUUCUUCCCAGGACAGAGGAUGUGAUCACCGCUUGGCAAGAGUCAACACGUUCUUCACUGGCGUUCAUGUCUGGUACUUGAAGAGAGGCUGGUCGUGAUGAAUUCGAUUCAUCUAAACGAGUCAUACACGGCUCUCCUCUCUUUUAGUGCCAAACUCUGCCUCAGAGGGCUUCUUGAACCAGUGCUGUUUCCAAGGGUCCUGUCCACUCUCAGAAGCUGCUCCCAAGCUGCCCUGCUUUGAAGAAGAUGCAGGAAUGCUGUGAGAAGUGCCACCUCCUGGUACUCAGAGGGAGGUUGUCCGUGGUAAGUUUACACUAUUUAAUGAUGCCCAAUGCACAGUUGACCUCUUUCCAGUAUCACACCUCAUCAGGUGUCUUCUUAGACCUGAUGCCAGUCUUGAGGGAGCCACGUUCAUGUUAGUUUUAUUCUAGUGUCCUUGAACAUGUGGUUGCCUCUGUAACUAACAGACAGGCCUGCCAGUGUUCCCUAACUCCAUCCAGGCCCUUCAUGGAGGGUGUUGCCAGCAUUGAGAAAGACACCUAUGUUAUAGACUUAAGGCAUGGAUGUAGUGGUGCCCAUGGUAUCUCUUGUUUCUUAUCUAUUUGUAAAGGAAAGUAACAGAUCUCAUCCCCCUUCUUCCACUGCUAGCAAAUCUUGUCUUACAGGGAGGACUUCUAGACAUGUUGGGAAAUUCAGGAAUGGGUUCCAGGGGUGAACAUUUUGGGGAGAGAGGAAGAUAAGUAAGUGGAUGAUUUUCCAUGCCUGUCAGCCAGGAUAUCAGAAGAAUGGAGCAAAGUGGGAAGAAAUAUUUUCUAUUUCUUAAUUUUCUUUGUGAAAAAAGUAUUUACUCUACCUGUUCAUAUAUUUAUAAAAAAGAUGCAUGCUUGUGAUAAAAAUUCAAGCAAUAUGAAAAAAUUAAAUUAAAAAAAUUACAAAAGUUUCCACCCACACAUAAACAACUUUAGGAAUUUCAAACUUCCUCCUGAGACUAUACACACAAAUGCAAAGGGAGGCUGAGAGAAAACCAUUUCACAGGGAUGAAUCUACUCUGUGUCUAAUCAUUUUAUUUAAAAUAUUCAUUAUUUUAAAUAAUUUCACUUGUGCUUAACAUAAAGAAACAACUAAAGGAGCCUGGAAGAUUUAGUAAGCUUCCUCUUUUGCCUUACUGAAGUAAGAGUCCAACACCACUAAGAAAGGUGAUGUGGAAAGCAGUGAGUAGUGGAGAACCAGUUCCCCUGCUGCUUCUGACAGCUGCAGACAUGACCAUGCCCCCAUGCUGACCCACACCAACCCACACGCUUUCUUUACUAGGGUUAUGCAUUUUAAUUUUUCCAUUGGGAAAAAUUAGAAAGUAAGUCUUAGAAGUGUUGAAGAUUGGUCCUCAGUAUGAAUAGCUUUGGCCACUUGUUUUGUUUAAACUCUGCCUUCUUUUUUUGGAGUCUUUAAUUCAUCUCUCAAGACAAUGAGGAUUUUUGUCAUUUCUUCAAGAAUGUCUCACAGAUACUACCCUUGAGUUCUUCAGACUGGUCUCUUGCUCUCAACCACAGAGGACAGAUUAGCUGGGUAUAGAAUUCUCAGCCUACUUUAGACAUUUCCUCUGAGAAUGUCCAUUCUUCGCUAUCAUCUUCUGUAUUAUUUUACUACCUCUUUUGGUGUGGCUUUCAAAAAACUUCUCAUUUAUCUAGAUAUAUUAUCUAGUGGGUCCUCCUUUGUAGUUCUAGAAAGUGAACGCACGGCCUUCUGCAUACUAGACAAGCAUUCCCACCUAGCUACACCGAAGCCCAUUGUACUCUCAGUUCUGUAUAUACUUUGGGGAGAGACUUGGGAGUACUGUCCUCUGUGAGGUCUCUUAUCUCCAGGAAUGUCCCUCUAGCACCUGUAUAACUCUCCUUUUCAUGAGUUUGUUAACUUUUCAUUGGCUGUCUAUAAUCAGCCCAGAAUUAAAAAGUUUGGUUUGCUCCUUUCUUUCUGGCUGUAGGGGUCAAAAUGCAAAUGGUUCAGUUGACAAAGCUGCGAGCAUGAGGCUCUGGGUUUGACCCUAGCACCUAUUAAAAAGAAAGCUAGGUCAUGGCAAUGUGCACCUGUUAUCCCAGCACUGGGCCAGGGUUGGGGGGCAGAGACCAAAGGAUGUGUCCUGGGGUGCUCACUGGACAGCCCGUGUAACCAACUCAGUGAGCGAACUCCAAGUCCAAUGAGAGACCCUAUUCAAAGCAAUAAAGUAGGGAGCAAUUGAGGAAGUCACUGGAUGUUGACACCUGGAUUCUGCACACAUUUACGUGUCCCCCGCGCACUCAUUACCCUCCCCGACCUGCACACACACAAUUAUAACAUGGUGGUUUGCAUAAGGUUCUGUCUGGUACUUCAAAGGUUUCACCAAAUUUAUUGGUGAAUUCUCUGCUCCAUUUGUUGGCUCAGACCUCAUGACUAGUAUAAAUUCCCCCAUCUUUGUCCUGGAACUUUGACAUCUCACGGAUGUCACUGUGCCAUCUUUAUGGCAGUCCUCCCUGUUGUCAGUUGCAUCACAAAUUCGUUUAGUUAAAGGAAUCAGACCCCUUUCUCGGUGUCACCUUCUGUCUUGACAGGAUGCCUAAUUGCUGCGCCAGCCUCUGGGAUGGACAGGGACCCAGGACCCACCAUCACUGGGCAGGUAUGUGAACUUGCUCUCAAUUAUUUGUUUUUCUCACAUGCAGUGGGCCAUUCAUUAAAAGUUACAACCUGUCUUUAGGCAGACAUCCUGGAAGUUUGCUUGCCAUGAGAGGUGAGGCCAUGACCCUAAGGUCAGUGCCACACCAUGGUGUCACAUAGUUGGCACUCAGUGCUAACACUGUUUUUAUGACCAGUAUUGUAGACCUAGCCUCUCUGUGAGCUCUGCAGGCAAUCCCUUGGCACAAGGCCUAUUUAAAAAAAAAAAAAAAAAAAAAAAAAAAAAAAGAGCAUCAUUGCUGUUUGCCUCAAUGCUGAUGUGAAGCUAGGGACCCUCCACUCUUAUGAUACACAUGAUAAAAUCUGUGCAUGUAGGACCUCCUUUAUCAGACUCUGUAAGACACUCCUUAGACACCCCAUCCUCAGCAAUGGUGCCAAGGCUAGAUGACUACUUCAGGGGGGAAGGAUUGGAUGUGGGGUGUGUGGUAUAGCCUCAAGCCCUCUUGCAGUCAACGCACUAGCCUGCUGUGUUCACUGUGCUCGGGGGACUUCCUGGAGGAAGCCAGCUUCGGAGAAGAGACGCUGGCACUCACCCGCGGUGCUUGAAGAUAGGUUAUCCGUGUUGCCUUCGCUUUGCUCGUGACGAAUCAUACACGGUUGACCUAUUUUUCAGUACCAAAUCCCGCCUUGGAGGAAUUUCUGGGGUUGACCCUCACUUCAGGGUGGGACUUUGGUGUUAGCGCUUCUCCGGGGUAAGUGAAGAGGUCAUUCGCCACAGGCAGAUCCAGGAGCACACAUGCUGUCCUCACCCAGUGCAUCCUUGGUUCUCUGCGGCACUCGUGGAGGUUGUACCUAUUUGGAAUGAGGGGAAGUGUCCUAUAGUCUUUCAGUUUAUUCCCUCUACAGAUGACAGAUAGUUACACUUCUCUGGUAUAAAAUGUGGCUCUCAAGUUCAAGUUCAGAGUUAGGAAUUGUGUACACACACACACACACACACACACACACACACACACACACACACACAUCUACAUGGGUGUUUCCAUCAGCCCUCUUGGCAUGCACUCAUCUCUGGGCUCACUGGAAGAUGUGGCAGUUCUGUUCCCUGAGUGUUGUUCUGCUGAGAGACCUUCUCACGGCUCUCUAGGACACACCCUGUGCUCCAUUGGGAAACCCUUCUGUGAUAGUGCAAUGGCUUCUGACAGUGGCCCUAACCACAGGCAGGGGACAAGAAAUGGCCCAAGCCACAGGGCACGUGUCCUUUGGCUAGAAUGUGUAGCUAUCUGCCCAACCCUCAGGGAUUCCCUCUUUAGGCCUGCUGCCUGGGACAUGCCAACACAAGCUCCCGAAAUCAAGUGUUUGAACAGAGGUUGUCCAUGGUGUGUUCAUUUUAUUUAUGAUGAGUAUUACAUGGCCAAUCUCCUUUCGGCACUAAAAUCUUCCUGGGAGAGCUUCUCCGGGGGAGUUCUGUCAGCAUCUGUGUGGGGUAAGGAAAUGGAGUGUCCCCUGUACCUAGUGCUUUUAAAAAAAAAAAAUGAGAUUUAGGUCAUCUGGUUGUCAAUGUAGGAUGUCCCAGAAAUGACACCAACUAUUUUGGGUGGUUCUGUGGUUUUCUGGCCAUUGUUAAAAAGAGCAAGCACAUUGGGUCAAAACCCAUAUUUAGAUGAGAAACUGUCUCAGAUGGAGACAUGCUAUGGGGAAGGAAGAAUCUGAGCCACCCCUGGGGUGGGGCUAGCUGGAUACAGGCCCCCAUUUGUUCAUUCAUCGCUAUCAUCCUCAGUGUUCGAGUCCAGGGGUUGUCUCCAGGAAGUAGAACCAGCUACCAGACUGGAAUGUGGGAGGGCAUCUAACAGUGACGUUUAGUAUUAGAAUGCUGAUGUUCUUCCUUUGACUCCAGUGUCCCUUGUGAAGGAGAGGACUCGGCAGCAUUCAUUACUAACCUGGUGCUUGCUAAUGGUGUGACCUUGAGUGAGUCAGCCUGUCAUCUGUCUUGCCUCAAUUUGUCUGUAUGAGAGCGUUAAUGGCUGCUUAUAAGGUAUGUAUGUACACACACUGAAUGUGUGCUCAGUUUUUUCGUGGUGCCUGGUUUUCCAGGGAAAGUUGGAAACCCAAUGGAUCUUGUAAUGAUGCUCGCUGCAUGAAUGUAGUUACCAUGUGGAUGUCCUUCCACCCUCUGGAGCACAGGUUCCUUGAAGUCGGAAGCCUCGUCUCUAGUACCCUGUAGGUGUACACGGUACGGAUGAUGUUGGAUGAGUGGCAGCUUGACAUGCUUUCUUUGUUGAACCCUCUUCGAGGCCUCUCAGAAGCUGGAGAGAAUGGAGGACGUCCCCAGAGCCUUGUACUCCCUGACGAUGCUGCUUUGUCUGUGGGGUCUUUCUGUCCUAUCAGGAUGCUGCCUUGGAGAGGGAGUCACCCCCUUUUAGGUCAGCCUUCAUUGGUGGGCCAGAUGGACCCUACCACACAGAGAAGUCAUGGUUCCUACUGUGUCAGACCCACCUCAGGACUUCUCUGGGAGACAUUUUGGGAUUCAGAUUUGGUAUCCAUACAUUUCUGGGUGAGUGACCAGUUGCUGGCCAAAGCCUGGACCCACAAGGCAUUUAUAUAAGCCUCUUUCCACCUGUAGGCAGGAUAGAACUCUGCAAGGCAGUCCAUGAAAGGCUGUUUUGAAGUUGGACCUGGGGGCUCAUUGGAGGUAACACCAGCCUCACUAGAGGGUGGGAGUCAGGGAGCCAGAGCCGAGGGAGGCAGUGCAGCCUUGGGAAGAGGUGCCCUGCACUGCUCUCGGCCUGUGCUGACGUUUGAUUCUGGAGCAGAGGUUGCCCUUGGUGAAUUCGCUUUAUUGAUGUUGAAUCACACAAAGGCAACUUUUGUUUGAGUAUCAAAGCCUGCUUGGGGUGGCUUUGGGGAGGGUCUCUGUGUAUGCCACAUGCUAGAAUGGAUGAUGGAGAUAAGGUGUGAACAGCCAAGGGUGUGGCUCAGAGAACAUGGAUGGUGUAACCAGAUGCAGGAUUCCUGGAACCCAUGAAGAGAUGCCAGUGUCUGCUUGGCAGCUUUUCUCAACCCAAAUCCUCUUUGCCACACCAGCACUUAGGCCCCCUGGUUCCAAACACAUUGGCUACUCUAAUCUGAAGACACCUUGACCAAAUGAGCUCUCCCUUGACUGUGUCAAGGACAAUGGCAGCCUGCCUUCUCUGUCGUCCUCCUCUCUCCAGCUCUCUAGGUCAGGAGCUCUUACAUUCCAUUCAUUGUCUCCCCCAACACCCACCCUACUCCCUGUGUGCUUCUCUUUCUCCCCUAUUUCUCACCAAACCUUGUUCUCCAUUUUUUGGAUGGGUUAGGAAAUGAGUAGAGGAGACCAGCAUUUCAUCCCGUUUACAUUAAAUAAUAGUGAUAAAAUAAUCACAAAAUAACACUACAAACUACCGGAACGGCUCGGAGGAAAAUGUGUUCAAUUGACUACAAAUUGGCAGAAGAAUCCAAUUUUCUUGACAACAUUUCAGCUACGACUUUUGACCUGGGGAAACAGUACUCUGUAGACAUGGCAGCCGCAAGAGGCGGCUUGCGAUAGUGGCGGCUGCUGUGAGCAGUAAUAUUUGUGGUAGAUGAACACACAUUGAGGAAUCAAAUCUUCGUUCAGAUUUUUAAAUGGGAAAGAAUUGAUCCUAAUGAAAAUGAUUUGAGGAAAUAACAAGGGAAAUAAAAGAAAUGAAAAUGGCUCAACAGCACAGUCAAGGAAGCUAAACAGGGAAUUGGAUUAGUUUAAUGGAAUUUGCUCAAAAAAAAAAAAAGUUGUUUUUUUUUUUUUUUUUUUUUUUUUUUAAUGAAAAUCAAUGCGGGUGCAGUUUUUGGCCAGGUGGGGAAAAUCUAUGUGCUUAGACUGAAGCCAGUGGGGCAUUAGGAAGACCUGGUCUCAUGCAGGUCCUUCAUGUGGCUAAACUUUAUUUUCUGUCCCAAACCUUUACAGAGUGCCUCCUAGACAGGUGUGGCGACUGCAGUAGUUACAAGCUGGCAAGGGUCCACUGGAGGAUGUGAAUGGGUGCCAAUGACAGAGCAUGUACCCGGUGGGCAAUCUUCUUCAGCUUCCUCUAGCCUCAAGAAACAUUCUGGAAGGAUCUUUACUUCGAUGAUCAGACCUCAGAGGCAACACCAUUAUCUUGGAGCUGGUCAGUGGCUGGAGCCCUCUCCAUGACAGGUGCUUGGAGGAAGACAAGGUGCCUGGACAGUUCUAAACAUGCUUGCUGACUAGACCUUGUAUCUACCACUAGCCAUCGCCAUUGCCACUGUGUGGUUCUUAGGAACGCUUCCAGGAGGUGAUGCCAGCUCAGGAAGGAGCCUCUGAUCCACAGGACAGCUUCAGGAGGUGAUGCAAGCUCCAUGGAUGCAGCAGCCAGCAUUGGGUACUUGAGGAGAGGUUGUCUGUGAUGAGUUCGCUUUAUUAAUGACGAAUAUAACACAGAUGGCCUGUUUUCAAUACCACCUGUCACUCCUGCCACUCAGCAGUACAUACCAGGUGCCACAGCACUGCUCGGUAGGUGAAUGCAUGGACUCUGUAUGACACUUGCCACCCUCUUCACCGAGCCUCAGCUUCACAUCCAUCCUGAGGAGCUUCCUGGGAUCACACCAACCUUGCAGGCUGGCCACAGAGCAUUGGCCUGGUGUGCGAUGGAUGACCAGAAUCUCUCCACUUGCCAUGCCUCUUGCUACAGGAGUGGGUGUCUGUCCCUAUCUAAGGCAUUCCACUGAGGGCUGCAUGCCUGCAUGCCCUGCACCUGGGGGUGCCUCCCAAUACCAAAAGGAUGGCAUAACACUUGGGAAAGAACCAGGCCAGCCAGUUGUACAUAUAGCCCAUGAUGGGUUUCCAUUCCUCAUAAUGAUAUAAUACAUGGUCAUCUCUCUCUAGUAUUGGAUCUCACCUUUGUGAGCCUGGGUGUCAGGGGAGGGACAUGCAUUGCUGGCCCACUGGACACAGCUUGAUGGUCAGGCAUGUAUCUGACUGAUCCUGAUCCAGAGCAUCACAUCUCCCUCAGUGGGGGUUAGGAAGCCCAUCUUAGAGGAAGAAGCACCCUAUGUAGAGUCCAUGCUGCUUCGUAGUACCUGAAGUAGGUUGUCUCUGAGAUGCUUACUUUCUGGAUGCUGACAUCCUACCCUGGAACACUUCUGCUUUGAGAUGCUGAUGCCAGCAGCAGAAGCCUCUGUGUUGAUUGACACCAAUGUCUGUGUGUGAGCCUGCGGCCUGGCCUCUUACCUUCCCAGUUCUCCUCUGUUAGAAACAGCAUAGAAUGUCCCCCUGAGUGUAUGAGGCAGUGAUACCCCAGCUGUGUCCCCACCUCAAGCAGACACGAGUCCCAGACAGGGUUUGACCCGUACUUAACGCAUGCUUUCUCCAUCUUUGCACUCUGGCUUUGUCAGACUCCUGUGAGCUUGCCAUAGAGACUUGACCUGGAGAUCAGAAAGCAGCUGAUUGUGCCCAGUAGGAGCCUUGGAGACGUAGGCUAGGGACAUUUGGUAUUUAGUAAGGAUCUCCAGAGUGGCAAAGAGUUCUUUCUGAGUAGGCUUGCAUUGCCACUCCCCCCACCCACCACCAAUGUAACUAGCACCCUCACCUUGGCAGCUCUACCCUGUGGGCUUCUUCACCUCUUCUGGGCCUCCUUAUCACCAAAAUCCUCUGUGUCCACAGAGGACAGUGUCUCCCUCCCCUCUCCAUCAUCACUCCCCCACAGCCCCGCCCAAAGGGUACGUGGUCUCUCUUCAGUCUCUUCCUCUUGUUCAGGAAGACCUGCCCAUGCCCCUCCCUCUGGGAGCUGGUCCUGGCUGCCUUUUCCCUACCUAGUCCAUCCCUCUUCCCCAGCCUUCAUGCUCACACAUUCCUUUCACUGGAAUGCAGGAUUCCAAGGGGCAUGGAAUGGUCCCUGCUCAGCAGUGCCAUGGAAGGCAGGCUGGCAACAGCUAUCCAGCUCCUUCCUUUUCCACACACUAGCACCUGCUUGUUAGGUGUUCCUCCCAAGCUACCUGCUGUCCCAAACUGCCUAGUACAGUCUUCAUGUCCCCAGGCUCUCCAACCCCACCCCACCCCCCAUCCCCCCAAAAAAAACAAUUUCCCAGGUCAGGGACAGACCUUUACAUUUUCCUUCCUCCCUCUCUUCCUCCUUCCUUCCCUCCCUCCCUCUUCUCCCUCCCUCCCCCCCCCUUUCCCUUCCUCUUUUACUUCCUUGGCUUAUCCUCUGCUGUAUUCUAAGCCUUAGGAUCCAGGCCAGGUCUAUAGUGACAGAAUAAUGAAGCGUGCUGAUUGACUAAUAGAGUCCCCAAAGGCAGAAACCAUAUUAAGUUAAUCCCCUGGAAAGUGGUGAGCAUGGAGCAGGAAUUCCAUAAGAUGUGGUGGCUGAUUCCAUAAAUAUGGAAGCUGGGUUUUGCAUAGUCUUUGUAUUUCUUAGAGGCUGUUUGAUUUUCCAGUCCCUCACCCCGACCCCACCCCAGAGCAUCACUCUUCUGAGAGUUGCUGCAUCAGGGGACAGGUUAGCUAGGUCUGCAGGCUUUUCUCCACUCCUGUAGCUGGGGCCCCACGCUAGUCCUCAGAUUCAGCCGAGCCCAGCCCCCACCCUCCACUCCACGAAGGCCUCUGUGGCAGUGAGCCAGAGGCCCAUAGAGCCCCUUGUGCGGCGGCGGCGGGCCUGAUCUGCUGUCAGGGCUAAUAUUUUAUGCAUGGACCUGAGUAAAUGGGAACAUUUGGAGAUGGAAAUUGCUGUUAAUGGCACAUCUUUGGAAUAUAUUAAGCGUAUGCGAGGCUGCUGCUGGUCUCCCAGUUUAAUUGUUCCAAUGUAAGCGCAGCCACACCACAGCAGCAGCAGGAAGGCCACCCCAAGUCCCUUCACCACUCGAUGGGGAAAGCCCCAGGUACCUCACCCACCAAGGGAGUGUUAUGCUUGAGACAGAAUGUCAGCUGGGAUACCAAGCAAUCAGCAGCGUGCACAUUCCAGACUCAACGGAGACCCCACCACACACCCCCGCAGAGGAUUGACCCCUCCCACUUGAGGCAGACUUUUAUUAAAAGCAAAAGCGCUAGAUUUCUCUAUUGUUUGAGGAGAAGAAAAGACAAACAAAGGAUUUUUUUUCUCAUCCAAUGAGUCAAGUGAAAAUGUCUGUCCCCCAGGCCGGCAGGCUGGCAGGAAGAAAGUCCCUGGGGGCACUUCAGGGGUCAGAGAAUUCACCAUCUCUGAGAUAGUGCAUAAACCCUGUGUGCCAAGGUCACAGAGCACAGGCCGUUUGUUUCUCUGUGCCUGGCAGACGUUAGAGCCAGUUUGCCCAUCCCAUAGUUUCUUCUGGAUGUGACCGGACUGAGCCAGUGGAGCAUUCCUUUACUGUUUUUAAGAGGGGGGAGGUGUUGUGUGUGUAGGGAGUAAGUAUUGGCUGUCUCCAGUGAGUAUUUGUGACCUGCACAGGGAGUAGGUUAUGUUUUACAGAAGAGGAAUUUACUAGGACUCAGAGAGGUUGAGGACUUUCCAAGAUAACCCAUCUGGAGACAGGGCUUCAGGCUAUGUGUUCUUAACAUUUCUGCUUGUGCUGGCCCAUGUACCUCUAGAAAUGACCCCAUGAGCCACAGAUGACAAACAGCUCAUUGAAUAGGUCUCCACAUCUUUCUGUACAGUGAGGCAGGCUCACUUUUCCCAAGACAUUGCUUGCCAAGAUUGUCAAGCUUUUCUUUUUUCCCUGUUAACUUACCUGGUUCCUCUCCCAUUAACUAAGAUGCUCUCAUUCAGGUCUGCCUUAUAAUGGGGCUGCCUACUCCAUCAGGAAACCCAGGACACUGUGGAUGUUAAAUCUCAGGCCCGAAUUGGCUAUUUUGUUUGCUUCUUCUGAAGGCCUGCAUUAGCUGUCUCUGUCACUGUGUGUGCGCGUGCAUGUGCGUGCGUGCGUGCGUGCGUGCGUGCGUGCGUGCGUGCGUGCGUGUGUGUGUGUGUGUGUGUGUGUGUGUCUGUGUGUCUGUGUGUCUGUGUGUGUGUGAAUGAGCCUGCUGCCUCCCAUCAGAGGCUGGAGAACUGCAUGGAAGAGCUGAGUACCUUCUGGCUGUGUGCUAGGUAGGCUAGGAUAGUUCUAAAGAUGUCACUCCUCACAUGAGGUCCUCAGGGGCUAAGUUCCCUGAGUCAGCCAGUUUCUCUUAUCACAUCUUUGAGCAGCUAAGGACUCAAGACUGUAGGAUCCUGUCCCCCUGGGGUGGGGACUUGAAGUCAGACCCACAUCUAGUGAGUCCAUGGUGUUUCUUUGUCAAGAUUUGAAAGGCCGUGAGAACCUGUGGACCCCUAGGGCUGGCUCCUAGUAGAUGCUCAGAAAAUACCUGUCUUCCUGGGAUCAAAUGAGCUUAGAUGCUAGCACAGGGAGAUGAUGAAUAGAUGGCUGUGAGGAGCACUCAGAGGAUGUUUGUGGAAUGAAUAAAUAAAAACACACUUUUUUUUUUUUUGAAGAAAUUAAGAAACAAGGAAAGGGAGAAACAUCCAGGGCAGACAACAUAAAUCUCCAGCAGUGUCACCAAUGCUAGAGCUGGGGCCGCCGAGAAGCCCCUGUGGAGGUGGUGGGGCCAUUUGUCAUGGGCGAGGACAGGCUUGAGGGCUGGGACAGGGGGCCUGAUGGAGGCCCGUCCAUCAUUUUCUCAUUAUCCCCGCGACGUGGAGGGCAGCUAGCGGAUCGCAGAGCAGCAGCCUGCGACUGAAGGUGGCCGGGUUGGGAGUGCGAGGGACCCCGAGGGAGGGCAGGCUGCCCCAGGCCCUGCCCCCUCCAGGAAGCCUUCUCGCUCCAGCCCAACACACGAUCUCACUUGCUCUCCCGGAUGCUCAUCAUGCGAUCUUUUAUCGACGCUCCUGGGAAGGGGCCCUUGGGAACGUGUCCGCAUGUGUGCCUCUGCUUGCCCAGGUUGCCCACACAGAGGAGGCGCUGUGAAUGCUUGCUUGUUGGCUUGUCUCUCCAUUGUAGACAGGUGAACUGGAUUGGUCCUUCCAAAGUAAACGUUCAGGAACUCCACCUACUUUCCAUCCGCACUGCUAGUCCUAGGUUGGAACGGUCCCAUUGGGUAUGACCAUUGGGACAGCUAUGGCUACAAGCAAGCCCUGAGGCCUGACCUGAAGCCAUCAAUGGACCUGCAGCGGCUCUGCCCAUCUUUGUUACCUCUCCCUCCCUGGAUCUCCUGCUUAAGACAAUGAAACCGGCUGACUGGAGAAGACGCCCCUCUGAGAGGACCAGGACCAUCCAGGACCCAGUGGGAUCCACUACCCCUGCCACACCCUGUGCCAUCUGCCACUGAGCCCCCCAACCAGUACCCUCUGCUUCUUACCAUUGCCCCGCCCCCCACCCCAGCCUUGCAUUUUAGAUCUCAGCGGGACCUGAGCAGCCCUGCUUAGGAACCUGAGGCGGGGGUUGGGUAGGCAGACCCAGGGGACUGAGCAUGGGUAUAAGAAAAGAUUUCUGCUCUUGGCUUUCAAAGACUCAAUGUGUGGAGCCCUUUGAAUAAUAAACAUAUAUCAUAAAAUGUAAA